UACGGGGGGGCAAGCGUUGUUCGGAUUUACUGGGCGUACAGGGAGCGUAGGCGGUUGGGUAAGCCCUUCGUGAAAUCUCCGGGCCUAACCCGGAAAGUGCGGAGGGGACUGCUCGGCUAGAGGAUGGGAGAGGAGCGCGGAAUUCCCGGUGUAGCGGUGAAAUGCGUAGAUAUCUGGAGGAACACCGGUGGCGAAGGCGGCAUCCUGGACCAACACUGACGCUGAGGAGCGAAAGCCAGGGGAGCAAACGGG
rnacentral:rRNA from 1 species